rnacentral:rRNA from 1 species
GGAAUAUUGCUUAAUGGGCGAAAGCCUGAAGCAGCAACGCCGCGUGGACGAAGGAGGCCUUCGGGUCGUAAAGUCCUUUUAUAGGGGAAAAGGAAGGAUGGUACCCUAUGAAUAAGUCUCGGCUAACUACGUGCCAGCAGCCGCGGUAAAACGUAGGAGACGAGCGUUAUCCGGAUUUACUGGGCGUAAAGCGCGUGUAGGAGGCAAUACAAGUUGGAUGUAAAAUCUCCCGGCUUAACUGGGAGGCGUCGUUCAAGACUGUAUAGCUGGAGUAGUGGAGAGGUAAUCGGAACUCCGGGAGUAGCGGUGAAAUGCGUAGAUAUCCGGAAGAACACCAGAGGCGAAAGCGGAUUACUGGCCACCAACUGACACUAAGACGCGAAAGCCAGGGUAGCAAACG